rnacentral:tRNA from 1 species
GCGGGCGUGGCGGAACGGCAGACGCGCCGGGUUUAGGUCCCGGUCCCUUCGGGGGUGGAGGUUCGACUCCUCUCGCCCGCACCA